AAAGUCGUAACAAGGUUUCCGUAGGUGAACCUGCGGAAGGAUCAUUAAUGAAUUUUAGGCCCUAGUCUUAACUGAUAAGGGCUGGUUCUAUCCAUAACACCUGUGCACUGUUGGAUGCUUGCAUCCACUUUUAAACUAAACAUUAUUGUAACAAAUGUAGUCUUAUUAUAACAUAAUAAAACUUUCAACAACGGAUCUCUUGGCUCUC
rnacentral:misc_RNA from 1 species